rnacentral:rRNA from 1 species
CAGUCGCCGCGGUAAUACAGAGGGUGCGAGCGUUAAUCGGAUUUACUGGGCGUAAAGCGUGCGUAGGCGGCUUUUUAAGUCGGAUGUGAAAUCCCUGAGCUUAACUUAGGAAUUGCAUUCGAUACUGGGAAGCUAGAGUAUGGGAGAGGAUGGUAGAAUUCCAGGUGUAGCGGUGAAAUGCGUAGAGAUCUGGAGGAAUACCGAUGGCGAAGGCAGCCAUCUGGCCUAAUACUGACGCUGAGGUACGAAAGCAUGGGGAGCAAACAGGAUUAGAGACCCCUGUAGUCCCUGUCUCUUAUAC